CCUACGGGUGGCAGCAGUGAGGAAUAUUGGUCAAUGGGCGAGAGCCUGACCCAGCCAAGUCGCGUGAAGGAUGACGGCCCUACGGGUUGUAAACUUCUUUUGUCAGGGAGCAAUUGGGCCCACGCGUGGGCCUAGCGAGAGUACCUGAAGAAAAAGCAUCGGCUAACUCCGUGCCAGCAGCCGCGGUAAUACGGAGGAUGCGAGCGUUAUCCGGAUUUACUGGGUGGAAAGGGAGCGUAGACGGCAGCACAGGUAUGGAGUGAAAUCCCGGGGCUGAACCCCGGAACUGCUUUGGAAACUGUGAGGCUGGAGUGCAGGAGGGGUAAGCGGAAUUACUAGUGUAGCGGUGAAAUGCGUAGAUAUUAGGAGGAACACCGGUGGCGAAGGCGGCUUACUGGACUGUAACUGACGUUGAGGCUCGAAAGCGUGGGGAGCAAACAGGAUUAGAUACCCGGGUAGUC
rnacentral:rRNA from 1 species